rnacentral:rRNA from 1 species
UGGGGAAUAUUGGACAAUGGGCGCAAGCCUGAUCCAGCCAUGCCGCGUGAGUGAUGAAGGCCCUAGGGUUGUAAAGCUCUUUCACCGGUGAAGAUAAUGACGGUAACCGGAGAAGAAGCCCCGGCUAACUUCGUGCCAGCAGCCGCGGUAAUACGAAGGGGGCUAGCGUUGUUCGGAUUUACUGGGCGUAAAGCGCACGUAGGCGGACUAUUAAGUCAGGGGUGAAAUCCCGGGGCUCAACCCCGGAACUGCCUUUGAUACUGGUAGUCUUGAGUUCGAGAGAGGUGGGUGGAAUUCCGGGUGUAGGGGUGAAAUUCGGAGAUAUUCGGGGGAACACCAGUGGCGAGGGCGGCUCACUGGCUCGAUACUGACGCUGAGGUGCGAAAGCGUGGGGAGCAAACAGG